CCGGAGACAAACUUCUACAAAAAAUAACGUCUCAAGUUCGGAUUGUAGUCUGCAACUCGACUACAUGAAGCUGGAAUCGCUAGUAAUCGCGGAUCAGAAUGCCGCGGUGAAUACGUUCCCGGGUCUUGUACACACCGCCCGUCACACCAUGGGAGUUGGUAACGCCCGAAGUCAGUGACCCAACCGUAAGGAGGGAGCUGCCGAAGGCGGGACUGAUAACUGGGGUGAAGUCGUAACAAGGUAGCCGUAUCGGAAGGUGCGGCUGGAUCACCUCCUUU
rnacentral:rRNA from 1 species